rnacentral:rRNA from 1 species
CGCGAGUCACGGGGUCUUGAUCAGGCCCAGAGGCGCAAUGAAAGUGAAGGCGGUAACUCUGCCGAGUUGGGACUCCUCUCCUUCGUCAAAAAGGGGGAGGAAGCACCAACGACCCGUCCUAUCCGAUCCGUUCGGUUGGGCGGAGUUCGAGCGUACGCGUUGGUACCCGAAAGAUGGUGAACUAUGCCUGGGCAGGACGAAGCCAGAGGAAACUCUGGUGGAGGUCCGCAGCGGUCCUGACGUGCAAAUCGGUCGUCAGACCCGGGUAUAGGGGCGAAAGACUAAUCGAACCAUCUAGUAGCUGGUUCCCUCCGAAGUUUCCCUCAGGAUAGCUGGCGCUCGGAGGAAUCAGUCUCAUCCUGUAAAGCGAAUGAUUAGAGGCCUUGGGGCCGAAACGACCUCAACCUAUUCUCAAACUUUAAAUGGGUGAGAAAUCCGGCUUGCUCGAUCGAAGCCCGGAUGAUUUUUUUCGGAUGUGAGUGCCCAGUGGGCCACUUUUGGUAAGCAGAACUGGUGCUGUGGGAUGAACCAAACGCCGGGUUAAGGCGCCCGAUGCGAGACGCUCAUGAGACCCCAGGAAAGGUGUUGGUUGCUAUAGACAGCAGGAUGGUGACCAUGGAAGUCGGAAUCCGCUAAGGAGUGUGUAACAACUCACCUGCCGAAGCAACUAGCCCUGAAAAUGGAUGGCGCUCCAGCGUCGAGCCCAUACCCGGCCGUCGAGGCAGAGUUGCGUCGGAACUUUACGCCUCGACGAGUAGGAGGGUCGCGGCGGAGAGCGUCGAAGGUGCCGGGCGCGAGCCCGCCUGGAGCCUCCGCCGGUGCAGAUCUUGGUGGUAGUAGCAAAUACUCAAGUGAGAACCUUGAGGACUGAGGUGGAGAAGGGUUCCAUGUGAACAGCAGUUGAACAUGGGUCAGUCGGUCCUAAGGGAUAGGAGAAAUCCGUUCCGAAGCGGGGCCUUGCUUUUUUGGCUCGUCCCGCGUGUGACCGAAAGGGAAUCGGGUCAAUAUUCCCGAACCCGGACACGGAGAAGGGGCCCUAGGGUCCAAGUGCGGCGACGCAACCGAACUCGGAGACGUCGACGGUAGUCCCGGGAAGAGUUUUCUUUUCUUUGUAAGGACUCGGUUCCCUGGAAUCGGCUCGUCCGGAGAUAGGGAUGCUGUUGUUCCGUAAAGCACCGCGGCUCUUGCGGUGUCCGGAGCGCUGCCGUCGGCCCUUGAAAAUCCGAGGGAGGAAGUGUGAUUUUCGUGCCGGACCGUACCCAUAUCCGCAGCAGGU